rnacentral:rRNA from 1 species
AAUAAGGAGCUUGCUCCUUUGACGUUAGCGGCGGACGGGUGAGUAACACGUGGGUAACCUACCUAUAAGACUGGAAUAACUCCGGGAAACCGGGGCUAAUGCCGGAUAACAUUUAGAACCGCAUGGUUCUAAAGUGAAAGAUGGUUUUGCUAUCACUUAUAGAUGGACCCGCGCCGUAUUAGCUAGUUGGUAAGGUAACGGCUUACCAAGGCAACGAUACGUAGCCGACCUGAGAGGGUGAUCGGCCACACUGGAACUGAGACACGGUCCAGACUCCUACGGGAGGCAGCAGUAGGGAAUCUUCCGCAAUGGGCGAAAGCCUGACGGAGCAACGCCGCGUGAGUGAUGAAGGUCUUCGGAUCGUAAAACUCUGUUAUUAGGGAAGAACAAAUGUGUAAGUAACUAUGCACGUCUUGACGGUACCUAAUCAGAAAGCCACGGCUAACUACGUGCCAGCAGCCGCGGUAAUACGUAGGUGGCAAGCGUUAUCCGGAAUUAUUGGGCGUAAAGCGCGCGUAGGCGGUUUCUUAAGUCUGAUGUGAAAGCCCACGGCUCAACC